AUAGUACUCCCUCCGUUCCAAAAUUCUUGUCUUAAGUUUGUCUAAAAAUGAAUGUAUCAAAAUACUAAAACGUGACCAGAUACAUUCAUAUCUAGACAAAUCUAAGACAAAAAUUUUGGAACGGAGGGAGUAUGUU
rnacentral:pre_miRNA from 1 species